UACGUAGGGUGCAAGCGUUAAUCGGAAUUACUGGGCGUAAAGCGCGUGUAGGCGGUUAUCCAAGUCGGGUGUGAAAGCCUUGAGCUCAACUCAAGAAAUGCAUUCGGUACUGGGUGACUAGAGGACCGGAGAGGAUAGUGGAAUUCCCAGUGUAGUGGUGAGAUACGUAGAGAUUGGGAAGAACACCAGUGGCGAAGGCGGCUAUCUGGACGGUUUCUGACGCUAAGACGCGAAAGCGUGGGGAGCAAACAGG
rnacentral:rRNA from 1 species